rnacentral:misc_RNA from 1 species
UUCUUGAGAAACAGAGAGAAAAAGAAAAUGAUAGAAAAUAUGUAUACACAUGGGAUAAUCCAUUGCUCUCUAAUUUCUGCAACUUUUUUGGCUGCGCAUUUUAGCUCCCCAGCUCAUGCUCUCCAUAUCAUUAUAAUUACUCAUCCUUAUUAGCUCUGUAAGCUGAGACUGCCAUCUCUCUUUCCUCUCAACUCUAUCAUCAUUCAAUCCCUCGUUGGAGCGGGAUCGCUUUCUGGUGGAGAAAAUCGUCUGCAAGUCUAGGCCUCCAGCCAUAUCCAUGUCAUACAAGGCUCUACUUUUGGGAUCACACAAGGUCUCAUAAGCCUCCUGCACUUGAAUAAAUCUCUUAGUGUACUCCUCUGUAUAGCCCGGAGGUGACACAUCAGGGUGGUACUUCCUGGCAAGUUGCUUAUAAGCUUUCUUGAUCUCUGAGAGCGUUCCACUCUCCGAGAUACCCAGCAAAUCAUAAAAACUCUGGGCAUUGAUAUAAAGGUCAUCAACAGUGGUGGCGGUGGCGGAGGCCUUAAUCGGGGUGGUUCUAACCGAUUUGGAAUGAGUUGUUAAGGAAAAGCUUGGUUUUGGGAAAUGGGUAUUGAAGCUAAAGUGAGAAUAUGGCUCAAGAAAGGAUGUUUGGGUUGAGAGUUUGGAUUUUGAGAUGGUGUGGAAGCUCGCAUGGCUUCCAGUAGAGAUCAUUCCACUAAUCAUAUUUCUCUGUUUUUU